rnacentral:rRNA from 1 species
UACGUAGGGUCCAAGCGUUAUCCGGAAUUACUGGGCGUAAAGAGUUGCGUAGGUGGCAUAGUAAGUAGAUAGUGAAAGCGUGUGGCUCAACCAUACAUCCAUUAUCUAAACUGCUAAGCUAGAAGAUGAGAGAGGUAGAUGGAAUUCCUAAUGUAGGGGUAAUAUCCGUAGAUAUUAGGAGGAACACCGAUGGCGUAAGCAGUCUACUGGCUCAUUCUUGACACUAAGGCACGAAAGCGUGGGGAGCAAACAGG